GACGAACGCUGGCGGCGUGCCUAACACAUGCAAGUCGAGCGGAGAUGUACGGAAGGUUUACCGGAAGUACAUCUUAGCGGCGGACGGGUGAGUAACGCGUGGGCAACCUGCCUUUUACUGGGGGAUAACACAGGGAAACUUGUGCUAAUACCGCAUGAUAUCACAUGGGGCAUCCUGUGUGAUCAAAGGAGCAAUCCGGUAAAAGAUGGGCCCGCGUCCGAUUAGCUAGUUGGUGAGGUAACGGCUCACCAAGGCGACGAUCGGUAGCCGGACUGAGAGGAUGGUCGGCCACACUGGGACUGAGACACGGCCCAGACUCCUACGGGAGCAGCAGUUGGGAAUCUUGGGCAAUGGGCGAAAGCCUGACCCAGCGACGCCGCGUGGAGGAAGAAGUCCUUCGGGCGUAAACUCCGUGGACUGGGGACGAGGAAGGACGGUACCCAGUACGAAAGGACGGCUAACUACGUGCCAGCAGCCGCGGUAAGGCUACGUAGA
rnacentral:rRNA from 1 species